UACGUAGGGGGCAAGCGUUGUCCGGAAUCAUUGGGCGUAAAGAGCGUGUAGGCGGCCCGAUAAGUCCGCCGUGAAAGUCCAGGGCUCAACCCUGGAAUGCCGGUGGAAACUGUCGGGCUGGAGUCCGGAAGAGGCGAGUGGAAUUCCCGGUGUAGCGGUGAAAUGCGCAGAUAUCGGGAAGAACACCCGUGGCUAAGGCGGCUCUCUAGUACGGUACUGACGCUGAGACGCGAAAGCGUGGGGAGCAAACAGG
rnacentral:rRNA from 1 species